UUCGUAUGGUGCAAGCGUUAUCCGGAUUUACUGGGUGUAAAGGGAGCGCAGGCGGCACGGCAAGCCUGAUGUGAAAGCCCGCGGCCCAACCGCGGGACUGCAUUGGGAACUACCGGGCUGGAGUGCCGGAGAGGUAGGCGGAAUUCCUAGUGUAGCGGUGAAAUGCGUAGAUAUUAGGAGGAACACCAGUGGCGAAGGCGGCCUACUGGACGGUGACUGACGCUGAGGCUCGAAAGCGUGGGGAGCAAACAGG
rnacentral:rRNA from 1 species